rnacentral:tRNA from 1 species
CAUUAAGUGGCCGAAAGUAAAGCAAUGGUCUCUUAAACCAAUAAAUAGUAAUUAACAACUACUCUUAAUGG